UACGUAGGGUGCAAGCGUUGUCCGGAAUUAUUGGGCGUAAAGAGCUCGUAGGCGGUUUGUUGCGUCGGCUGUGAAAUCCCGAGGCUCAACCUCGGGUCUGCAGUCGAUACGAGCAAACUAGAGUGUUGCAGGGGAGACUGGAAUUCCUGGUGUAGCGGUGAAAUGCACAGAUAUCAGGAGGAACACCGGUGGCGAAGGCGGUGAUCUGGGCCAGUACUGACGCUCAAGAGCGAAAGCGUGGGUAGCGAACAGG
rnacentral:rRNA from 1 species